rnacentral:lncRNA from 1 species
CUCAAUGAGCUGUGAACAGGCCUACUGCUGUUUCAUAAUGUGCAUUUGGCUUUCCUGGACCUACCGUGAAGAUCUUUUAAAUCUCAGUUUUCUUCCAGCUCCUGGUAAUAGACUUACACCGAAACAGUCCUCCCACGCCACAAGAUCAAUGGAACCCUGGAAGCUACAAGAGAAAGAAAUUAGAAUGUGCAUCAAAUUUGUG